CCCAUGUACAAAGGGCAUAGUCCCCAGCUUGGUACUCUUGGGAGGUGAUGAAAUCUGCAAGAGCUUUCCAGCCAUGUGGUGAACAGUUUUGCUCUGCCAUAAUUUGCUGCAACAGGGACAAUUGAUCAUAGACUGAACCUUCCAAAACUGUCCACAGGGUAGGAGAGCCAGGAAAUCAAGACCACAAGACCUGCAACAACUGUCCAGAGUCUUGAUUAAGACCAGGAGUACACAGCGGAGCACCACCAACUGUCCAAAGAAAGGACCUCUCUAGGCGGUUGCAAGGCGAGAUCUCCAGGUCACGUUGUUACAAACAAACAAACAACAAACAAACAAAAGGUAUGUGUGGGGCAUGGUACAGAACAACGUGUAGCACGUGUUCGUUUUUGUGGGAGAACAGCACAAGUAGAAUGUACUUACAUACCCUAUUUUCUGUUUUUGUACUGGUAACAGACACCCAACCCACACAAACCCCCACGGCCUGUAGGGGGCGCAGAAAGACAGAGUACUGUAGAAGGAAGGGCAGAGCAAGUUUUCCACAGCACGCUUUUAAACGUAGUCAUCUUGCUUCUCGAACCAUGUAAGGGUAUUGAUGACCUGUCCCCCAAAUAAGCUAAUUGCAUAGAUAGACCACGCCACGCCUCGCUCCUCCCGUCGCACACUGAAUCUCUGAGCCUGGGGCCUAGCCGAGCACCCCCUUCUCCUGCCGCGCGGGUUGUUUCCCCAGGCGAGAGUGAAACUCGGGCUGAGACCGGAGCCUCAAACCAGAGCUCGGCCGGGCCACGGGGCUAAUUUGCACGGCAGGAGCGUCCUGCUCCUCGGCCUCAGUUCUAGCCUGUCAGACUCUCAGGAAUGAGGACCAGGAGCUUUGUUCGGCCGCGAAUGGGGACACGGAGGCCCGGAAAUGUGGGGGGCUCCGGGGUGGGCGCCCCGCGUGGCUGCGCGGCCCGCCU